UACGUAGGGUGCGAGCGUUGUCCGGAAUUAUUGGGCGUAAAGGGCUCGUAGGCGGUUUGUCGCGUCGGGAGUGAAAACCAGGUGCUUAACACCUGGCUUGCUUUCGAUACGGGCAGACUAGAGGUAUGCAGGGGAGAACGGAAUUCCUGGUGUAGCGGUGAAAUGCGCAGAUAUCAGGAGGAACACCGGUGGCGAAGGCGGUUCUCUGGGCAUGACCUGACGCUGAGGAGCGAAAAGUGUGGGGGAGCGAACAGG
rnacentral:rRNA from 1 species